rnacentral:rRNA from 1 species
GAUGAACGCUGGCGGCGUGCCUAAUACAUGCAAGUCGAGCGAACGGACGAGAAGCUUGCUUCUCUGAUGUUAGCGGCGGACGGGUGAGUAACACGUGGAUAACCUACCUAUAAGACUGGGAUAACUUCGGGAAACCGGAGCUAAUACCGGAUGAUAUUUUGAACCGCAUGGUUCAAAAGUGAAAGACGGUCUUGCUGUCACUUAUAGAUGGAUCCGCGCUGCAUUAGCUAGUUGGUAAUGUAACGGCUUACCAAGGCAACGAUGCAUAGCCGACCUGAGAGGGUGAUCGGCCACACUGGAACUGAGACACGGUCCAUACUCCUACGGGAGGCAGCAGUAGGGAAUCUUCCGCAAUGGGCGAAAGCCUGACGGAGCAACGCCGCGUGAGUGAUGAAGGUCUUCGGAUCGUAAAACUCUGUUAUUAGGGAAGAACAUAUGUGUAAGUAACUGUGCACAUCUUGACGGUACCUAAUCAGAAAGCCACGGCUAACUACGUG